rnacentral:misc_RNA from 1 species
UCCCGGUUGGCCCGGGCAGUCUCGUCUGAAAAAUACAACAGACGACAAGGGUUGCGCUCGUUGCGGGACUUAACCCAACAUCUCACGACACGAGCUGACGACGGCCAUGCAGCACCUGUCACCAGGUUCCCGAAGGCACAGCCACCUUUCGGCGGCCUUCCUGGGAUGUCAAGCCUCGGUAAGGUUCUUCGCGUAGCUUCGAAUUAAACCACAUCCUCCACUGCUUGUGCGGGUCCCCGUCAAUUCCUUUGAGUUUUAAGCUUGCGCUCGUACUCCCCAGGCGGCACACUUAACGCGUUAGCUUCGCAACACAGAGGGUCGAUACUCCAUAUUGCUAGUGUGCAUCGUUUACGGCGUGGACUAC